UACGUAGGGUGCAAGCGUUGUCCGGAAUUAUUGGGCGUAAAGAGCUCGUAGGCGGUCUGUCGCGUCGGAUGUGAAAACCCAGGGCUCAACCCUGGGCCUGCAUUCGAUACGGGCAGACUAGAGUUCGGUAGGGGAGACUGGAAUUCCUGGUGUAGCGGUGAAAUGCGCAGAUAUCAGGAGGAACACCGGUGGCGAAGGCGACACCCUGGACUCAUACUGACACUGAGGUGCGAAAGCGUGGGGAGCAAACAGG
rnacentral:rRNA from 1 species